rnacentral:rRNA from 1 species
GAUGAACGCUGGCGGCGUGCUUAACACAUGCAAGUCGAACGGAAAGGCUCCUGCUUGCAGGGGUACUCGAGUGGCGAACGGGUGAGUAACACGUGGGUGAUCUGCCCUGCACUUCGGGAUAAGCCUGGGAAACUGGGUCUAAUACCGGAUAGGACGAUGGUUUGGAUGCCAUUGUGGAAAGUUUUUUCGGUGUGGGAUGAGCUCGCGGCCUAUCAGCUUGUUGGUGGGGUAAUGGCCUACCAAGGCGUCGACGGGUAGCCGGCCUGAGAGGGUGUACGGCCACAUUAGGACUGAGAUACGGCCCAGACUCCUACGGGAGGCAGCAGUGGGGAAUAUUACACUAUGGGCGGAACCCUGAUGCAGCGACGCCGCGUGGGGGAUAACGGCCUUCGGGUUGUAACCUCCUUUCGCUAGGGACGAAGCGCAAGUGACGGUACCUGGAGAAGAAGCACCGGCUAACUACGUG